UCCAGCGCCGUGACAAUGCUUCUCAACUCUGCUGGGGCUGAAAGAGGCUCGAGUUCCUGUUCAGGGGGACCUUGGGGGAGGGGAACGACGACGGACUCGCGACGCCCGAGAGCGUGGAGGGGAGACCAAAGUUUUAACCCAGGAAGUCAACUGCCAUGUUGGGAGAAGUCAACUGCUAUGUUGGGAGGAUACUCAAGCUAUCCUGUGGAAUGUUUUGCAUUUCAAGGAACCUCCUGCCAACCACCAGCACUACCUGGCUAGACAUAAGCACGUCAGAAACCCAAGGAAGUUUCAAGAUCUUUCUUGUCCAACCCCUUAUUUCAUAGAUGAGUGAACUACUAUGGACCACAACUGUGAAAUUAGGUGGUGGAAGAGCAGGUACUACAUAUCAGUUCUCCUUAUUCUCAAGCCAAGACUCUUUUCACCUUGGGGAGUUCAUUCUGGCUGCCCCAUUUUCCCACUGGUGGUGGAAGAUGUAUGAGAAUGUCUGUCACUGGUUCAGUAGUACCACUGAAAUACACAUUGCACUGAAAUAUUGUUAACCAGCGUAGAAAUUAGAGAUUAGCCAAAUAAGUCAGAUCUAUCUUUUCCAUAUAUAAGCUUGUACAUGUCACUAAAAUGUUGUAAUGGCAAUUCCAGUCUGGAGUUUGGAGACUAAAGGAAAUGUCUCUUUUGAGAACUUUCUCUUUUUGAGAAAUGUCAUUUAAAUGUUGCAGCAUAGAGAAACCUCUUUGGCAGCAAACCAUUUAUUUCAACUCUUUUCAUGUAAAUCCUCUUUUUUAUGUGUUAAACAUUACUUUCUUCUUUCAAAGUAUAGUCAUGUGCCCCAUAACGUUUCAGUCAACAAGGCUCUGCAUAUGUGACUACGAUAGUGGUCCCAUAAGGUUAUAAUGGAGCUGAAAAGUUUUCAUCCCCUGGUGGCAGUUUAGCCAUUUUUAAUGUCAUAGCACAACGCAUUAUUCAUGUGUUUGUGGUGAUGCUGGUGUAAAAGAACCUACUGCACUGCCAGUCAUAUAAAAGUAUAGCACUUACACUUGUGUACAGUGCAUAAUACUUGAUAAUGAUAAUAAACAACUAUGUUACUGAUUUAUGUAUUUACUACACUAUACUUUUUAUUGUUAUUUAGAGUGUCCUCUUUCUAUUUGUAUAAAAAAAGUUAACUAUGAAACAGUAUGCUGUGCUACAUCAGCAGCAGCCUCGUAUAUCUCAUGUUUACCGCUUCUCUUGAUUGCAUCAUUUUCUCUUGUGCUUGAUUUAAUCCUGGGUUGUUUUGUUUAUCAUGGCACCUAAGUUUACAAAAUACACUGUUAAGGUUGCCAGGAAGAGGCCAUGUGAAGUGAUUGACCUGGAAAUGAAAUUUAAGGUGAUUAAGGACAAUGAAGGUGGAAAAUCAGUGAUGGUUGUUGCUCACCAGUCAGGCAUGUCCCAUUCCACCAUAGCUACGAUCCUAAAGAAUAAGAACAAAGUGAUGGAAGCUUUUAAAGGAUCUGCCUCACUGAAGGCAAUGAAACUAACAAAAAUUCAAGAAGGGCCUACAUCAGAUCUGGAGAAACUUGUAAUGACCUGGAUUGAAGACCAGACACAGAAGGGUAUUCCUCUCAGUACCAUAACAAUCAUGGCCAAAUCAAAAAUUUUGUUUGUGAUGGUGCAAGAAAAGACUGGACCCUACUGUGAUAUUGAAUUUACUGCUAGCUCUGCUGGUUUAAGCAGUUCAAGAAUCAUUAUCAUUCAUAAUGUGAAAGGGAAUGGUGAGUCUGCAGAUGCUGAUGUGAAGACAGGUGAAGAACAUUUGGAAAGUCUAGAUAAGCUGAUUGUGGAGAAAAAUUACUUGCCAGAGCAAAUAUUCAAUAUGGAUAAAAUCUCCCUAUUCUGGAAAUGGAUGCCUGGAAGGACUUUCAUCCAUAAGGAAGCCACGUCAAUACCAGAUGUCAGGGCUUUGUUUGGGGGGUGAAGAUUAGCUCUGAGCUAAAAUCUGCUGCCAAUCCUCCUCUUUUUGCUGAGGAAGAUUGGCCCUGAGCUAACAUCCAUGCCCAUCUUCCUCCACUUUAUAUGUGGGACGCCUGCCACAGCAUGGCUUGCCAAGCGGUGCCGUGUCCGCACCUGGGAUCUGAACUGACGCACCCCAGGCCCCCAAAGCGGAACGUGCGAACUUAACUGCUGUGCCACCAGGUCGGCCCCGAUUUCAAGGCUUUUAAAGAUCAGACCUUCCUGCCACUAAAGAACUCAAGGUAGCAAAAAAAAAAAAAAAAACAAAAAAACCAAAAAACGGAAA